CAAUAGGUUCGCUUAUAGGCGAUUAAUAGGGAAUCGGGUGAAAAUCCCGAACAGUCCCGCUGCUGUGAGUAACCCUUUUACAGGCAUAAACAAUAAGCCACUGAACCCAAUAAGGAACAUUCGGGAAGGCGUUUGUGGCUGGGCUACAAAGUCAGAAGACCUGCCAUUGCCUAUU
rnacentral:ncRNA from 1 species